rnacentral:rRNA from 1 species
GUGGUGGAGCAUGUGGUUUAAUUCGAAGAUACACGAAGAACCUUACCUGGCCUUGACAUCCCAAGAACUUUCCAGAGAUGGAUUGGUGCUAGCUUGCUAGAACUUGGUGACAGGUGCUGCACGGCUGUCGUCAGCUCGUGUCGUGAGAUGUUGGGUUAAGUCCCGCAACGAGCGCAACCCUCGUCAUUAGUUGCUAACAGUUCGGCUGAGCACUCUAAUGAGACUGCCUCCGUAAGGAGGAGGAAGGUGAGGACGACGUCAAGUCAUCAUGGCCCUUACGGCCAGGGCUACACACGUGCUACAAUGGGGCGUACAGAGAGCUGCAAUACCGCGAGGUGGAGCCAAUCUCUUAAAGCGUCUCUCAGUUCGGAUUGUUCUCUGCAACUCGAGAACAUGAAGCUGGAAUCACUAGUAAUCGCAGAUCAGCUAUGCUGCGGUGAAUACGUUCCCGGGUCUUGUACUCACCGCCCGUCACACCAUGGGAGUUGAUUUCACCCGAAAUCGGGAUGCCAAACUGGCUACCGCUUACGGUGGAAUUAGCGACUGGGGUGAAGUCGUAACAAGGUAACC